rnacentral:rRNA from 1 species
UACGUAGGGGGCAAGCGUUGUCCGGAUUUAUUGGGCGUAAAGAGCGUGUAGGCGGCCAGACAGGUCCGUUGUGAAAACUGGAGGCUCAACCUCCAGACGUCGAUGGAAACCGUCUGGCUAGAGUCCGGAAGAGGAGAGUGGAAUUCCUGGUGUAGCGGCGAAAUGCGCAGAUAUCAGGAAGAACACCCGUGGCGAAAGCGGCUCUCUGGGACGGUACUGACGCUGAGACGCGAAAGCGUGGGGAGCGAACAGG